rnacentral:lncRNA from 1 species
AAUAAGAUCUUAGAUCUUAGUUAUUAUUUAAAGUUUAGAAGCAUUUCCAUUACUGUUUUGGAAACUUAUUCAUAGCUGCAACAUUGGAAGUUAUACAUGUCUCCUGCCUGGGUGAAAUUUGUUUGAAUAUGAGUGAAAUUAUCAGAAAAAAAUCACCCAGUACAUAAGAGGCAAGCUCUUAUGUUGUAUUUUUACAAUGCUGUUGUGUAUGAUGUUUUGAUGUGCUAUUAUUUUUAUUUCCUGUUUUAGUUCUCUAGAUCCAUGUAAGGGAAAAAUGUCCUUUUCUAACCUUUGCCCUACACAGCAUGCUUCUCUGUAUUUGAUAUUUGCUCACAGAUGAAGAGGUGACUUUUCCUAUCAGCUUGCUUUUGGAAGCCUGACUGCCUUGAUUCUUACAUAGUGUGCAUUAUCUAAAAGACAGAGUGUGGUCUAGGUGGACAGUGGGAAAAUAAUCAACAAAAACAUUUUCAUACCUUUGUAAAGCUAUACUUCUUUAAUUUACAGGAUUCCACUCAGAAUGCAUUAUCUCUUUUCUACAUUUUUAAAAUGGUCAUUAGUAAACAAUUUGAUUCUCAAUGGUCAUCACACUUUUAUUCUACUAUAUCUUCUAUAUAUCUUCUAUCUAUAUCUUCUGCACUGCACAGUCUUGGCUUUUUCUAUGUUGCCACCCAGUUUACUGGAGCAGUUCUUAGGGCUCGUUCAAUAAUUUGCUACACUUCACAUUUCAAUCCACCAGUUCAGGCAGCAUCAGGGGGUAAAUUUUUUUUAAAUGGAGGAUACUUAAGUCAGAUCCAUAUGGGCAUGAAUUUUGAUUGUGUUUCUUUCUUACUGUAAUGUUAAUAAUAAUAUGUACAAUUAUAACAUUACCAUUUAUUGAUGACCUCCUAGAUGCCUAGAGUUAUUAUUAGUUAUUUAUAUUCAUUAGGAGUUUAAUUCAAACAACAACCCUAAUAGGUAUGUAUUAACAUACCUUUAUCAUAAAUGAAAUUAUUGCCUCCAGAAUAGUCUAAGAACUUUCCCUUAUCAUACAGCUAGUAAUUUUAUGUUUCAAUUACUUUACCUUUAAAAUUGGGGCACCUGGGUGAUUCAGUCGGUUAAGCUUCUGCCUUCAGCUCAGGUCAGGAUUCCAGGGUACUGGAACAUGGAGACCUGCAUCGGUCUCCUGGCUGAGCAGGAAAUCUGCUUCUUCUCUCUCCCUGCCCCUGCCCCCCAAGUCAUGCUUGGGUGCUCUCUCUCUGAAAUAAAUAAAAUCUUUAAAAAGAUAAAAUUGUAAGCAUAAUACAAACAUAUUUUUUAAACUAUAAAUACUUUUAUUACAUAAAUUAUGAUUGAACGGAAGAGAGUUUAUUUAGCUUUCUUCACCUUGAUCCUACUCAGAGCUCUAGCUUCAUGAUCUUUGGCACAUGGCAAACUUUUGAUUACCCUGGAAUUAAAUUGGACUCAAAGCGAUGAAUACAAGAAUGAACCCUGCUGGAAUUCCAGCUGAAGUUUAUUGACCUUAGCAUUCUUUCUUCAUUGCUUUUGAAUUCUUCUCGGUAUAGUGUGAAUGAAACAUAGGACCAGUUAGAUAGGAUUCACUAGGGCUUCUAGGUCACUCUGUGAAAGUCAUCUCAAAGACAACCUGCUUAAAACUGUAAUUUUUUGAAGACACACACACACUCACAACACACACACACACACAUAUUUAGGGAGAUUCCUGCAAAUGCUUCCCAGAUUUUGUAAUCUUGGGAGGAGAAGAGCAGCUGUUGCAGACGAAUGACAUAAGUUGACCAACACCCUUACCCUUUCUCUCUCCUUUAUGAAGUAAAAUCUUAAUGAGCAGGAGACAAGGACACGGAAGUGUUGUCUUUCAGAGCAUUGGUGAAAACCUAUUACAGUUGUCAAUAGGGAACAAAAAUGGCAACAACAAUAACAAAGACCUUCUAGGAUCUGGGCAGGAGCAGUAUUUAAAGUGAGAUUACUAGUUAAGGAAAUAGUUUUUUUUUUUCACUUCAUUGAAGCAUAAUUCACAAAACUGUCAUAUAUUUAAAGUAUACAAUGUGAUGAUUUUAUAUAUAUAAUAUAUAUUUAUAUACACAAUUAUAUAUAUAUAUAUAUAUAUAUAUAUAUAAAUUGUAAAGGAUUUCUCCCAACAGGUUAAUUAACACAUCCAUUACCUCACAUAUUUCCCUUUGGUGUUGUUGCCAUGAGAGUAUUUAUGUUCUGUUCUUUUUUUUUUUUAAUUCUUUUUUUAUUUUAUGAUAGUCACACAGAGAGAGAGAGAGAAGCUGAGACACAGGCAGAGGGAGAAGCAGGCUCCAUGCACCGGGAGCCCGAUGUGGGAUUCGAUCCCGGGUCUCCAGGAUCGCUCCCUGGGCCAAAGGCAGGUGCCAAACCGCUGUGCCACCCAGGGAUCCCUAUGUUCUGUUCUUUUAGCAAAUUUCAGUUGUAUAAGACAGCAUUAUAGUCACCAUGUUAUACUUUGGAUCCUCAGACUCUCAGACCUUAUUCAUCUAUACCUCAAAGUUGGUACUCUUUUAUCAUCCUCUCCCUAUUUUCUCCAACUCCUGGCAACCACUUUUCUACUCUCAGUUUCCAGGAGUUUGAUUUUUAAAGACCUGUUGACUUGAGAGAGAGCACGAGCAGGGAGAGGAGCAGAGGGAGAGAAUCUUUAAGCAGACUUCCUGCUGAACAUGAAGCCAUAAUUGGAGCUUGAUCAUGACCCAUGAGAUCAUGACUUGAGUCAAAAUCCAGUAGGACAAAUAACCAACUGAGCCACCCAAGCAUGCCCCCAUGAGUUUUAUUUAUUUUUUUAAAUAUUCCUCAUAUAAGUGAUACCACGCAGUUUCUGUCUUUUUUGUCUUUUUCACUAUGCAUAAGGCCUUCCAGUUUAUUCAUCCAAUGUUGUUGCAAAUGGCAAGAUUUCCUUCUUUUUUUAAGGCUGAGUAAUAUUCAAUGAUAACAUAGAGUGAUAGAUGAUAGAUAGAUUAUAGACAGCCAGUGAAUUGUAAAUAUUGUGCUACUGUAAAUAAUACUACAAUAAAAAUGGAUACAGAUUAUCUUAGCCAUGAUUUUUUGUAUUUGACACCACAAGCAAUCCAAAAACAAUAAUAAGUCGGACUACAUCAAACUAAAAAAGUUCUGCACAGCAAAGGAAACCAUCAACAAAAUGAAAAUGUAACCAAUGAAAUGGGAGAAAAUAUUUGUAAACCACAUACCCAAAGAGUUACUAUACAAAAUAUACAAGGGACUUAUACAUCUCAAUAGCAAAAAAAUAAAUUGCUGUCUUAAAAAUUG